GCACCCGUAGCUCAGCUGGAUAGAGUACUCG
rnacentral:tRNA from 1 species